AUUUUUUUGGAUUAUCAAGUUUUUCGAACGCCCCAACAAGGGUUGCAAAAGCCUCACUCACGCAGAGAAGUCGAUAACCAUGAAAUGGAUUUUAUUGAGAAACCCUUUCUCGUAGAGGUCGCAAUCAUCUUCUUCAUUCUCCCGCUUACACAGCCAAUGGCCUUCCUCCAUUCUUCCUCUCAGCCCUAGUGACAUCUCGAUUUAGGCUCUUCUCCUUCGAUAACGAUUCACCGCCAAACAAAGAUUCCCAAACUGUUCUCGAAGCCAAUUUGGUGCCCUCUCAGAAGAAAGAAAUAUCUUUGGACGUUCAAGAUGUAAGCAAUAAAGAACUUGAUCCUCGAUCCAGUACAGAACUUGAUCCUCGAUCCCCACUAUGAAGAACUCGAUCCAAGUCUUGAUCUGGUCCAGAACUCGAUCCUCGAUUGAACUCGAUCCAAGUCUUGAUCCGGUCCAAAAUUCCCCCACUGUGAAGAACUCAAUGCUCGCAGAUCUAUCGCAAUACAAAGCCCACUCGAUGCUCGCCCGUAAAAAAAUAUUUGUAUAAAUAGACACAACGUUUUCUCUUAUAUAUUGUUAUUUUGCGUCUAUUUUGAGUAGUCUUUUACAGGCCAAGAUCGUGGCAUACAAAUGAUUCUUAAUUUUGAAAGAGUGAGGCAACGAAAGAGCUCUUAUGGGAGAACAUUAACAAAACAAUUUUUUGGAAGAUUUUGGGAUGAGAGGAAUUCUAGGAUUUUCAAUGGAAAAGAAAGAUCCCUUGGAGAUGUUCUUGAUUUAUCCAUCCACCUUCAAUGUCCUUUUUUGGUGUAAAAGUCAAGAAUUUGUUGAUAAUGGUUCUCGUGAUUUCCUACUCUUAAGCUUGAUCCAAUAUUCCAGUAGAUGAUAGUGUGAGAAAAGAAGUCAUCACAAGAUUGACAACGAAUGUAAAACAUCUCCAAAUUGUUAUGAAUUUGUUUUAACAUAUUUAUUCAUUGUGCCUUUGUUUCUAUUUUACUACUAUUUUCAUAUGUUUAGAGUCAUGAUCAUUGCUUGUAUUAUUAUUGCCUAAUUAGUGACAUUUAUUAUUUCAAUAAUCUAUGAAGUUUAAUGUCAACUUAUCCUUCCUAACCAAUGCUUAUAUAUAUAUUUGUUACAUUGAGAAUAGCUAAAAUGGAUGACAAGCUCGUGAAUUUAGAGGUAGAUGAAAAUCAAAGAUGGAAGCUCAAUUCCAUGAUGCUAUAAUCCUCAAAACUUGAUGAAUUUUGUAUUUUGUGAACAUUGUAUGGUUGAAAAUUACAUUUAACAUAUUUUUUGUAUUAUUGGAUAAUUUUUUUAGUUUCUAAUGUAAAUUGAUCACUAAAUUUCAAUAAUGAAA